UGCCAGCAGCCGCGGUAAUACGAAUGGAGCGAGCGUUGUUCGGAAUCACUGGGCGUAAAGCGUGCGUAGGCGGAUAUGCAAGUCAGGAGUGAAAUCCCAGGGCUCAACCCUGGAACUGCUCUUGAAACUGCAUAUCUAGAGUCCCGGAGGGGCCAGCGGAAUUCCGAGUGUAGAGGUGAAAUUCUCAGAUAUUCGGAGGAACACCAGUGGCGUAGGCGGCUGGCUGGACGGGAACUGACGCUCAGGCACGAAAGCAUGGGGAGCAAACAGGAUUAGAUA
rnacentral:rRNA from 1 species